GGUUUCACUUCCGGUUUGGCUCCUUCGAUCGAUCGGCAGCGAGUCUUGCUCCGCAGGCAUAGACCGAUUCUCUGGGUCUAUGGAUGGUCGAUUCUCUGGGUCUAUGGAUGGUCUCGGCAGCGAGACAUGGGCUACAAGAGCAUAGAGGAUUGGAUCAAUUCAUCAAUGAAGAAACACCUGUCAGAAGUUUGAGGGAUUUUGUGGGUGCAAUACUUAAAGUUGUGUUGGAGGAUCCAACAGAGGAGUUUGUAUCCUCAGAAGAGCAAAAGAGAGGAUUUCUUCCUAAGGAAACCAACCUGUGUUCUGAGUAACAUGUCCCUGAACAAGCAUUCUGGGAGUCUGAGCUGUUUGAGGUGGAAGAAGCAAGUCCAGGGGGCAAUAGUAGCCUUCCAGUUCUUCCGAGCCCUUUCCUUGUGCACACGAGUGAGCUGGCUACAUACAGCACCACCAAAAGCACCUGCUCACCUCUCUGCCUCAUCCAUCAUCCAAAUCUCAGGUUCUAGCCCAGGGGAGCCUGUUGCAUCACUGAACCCUUGAAGACAAGUCCUGAGUCCAUGAAGUGACAGAGCGAAUUGUACAAGGCUUCUUGUCUGUCAUCAUCUUCAGAUACGUUCUCUCUUUAAUCAGAAAAGGCAGCAUCCCUGCCCCGUGAGUGCUUUCCAGCAGGAAAAUAAAAGAUGGACUCAC